UAGUUUUAAAUUAAACAAUCAAGGAUAUAAAAAAAUUAAGGAAUAAACGAUGAGAUAUUUUAUUAUUUACGAAACUCUAAAUUUUCUCUUCCUCGUUCUUCUAUGGGCCAAGGGAUUAAAAAUUAAUGACCAUUUUAACGGUAGCUGUAUAAGUAGUGGGUUAAAGAUACGAGACAAGUGCUCGAGUUAAGUAAGAUUCUCUAACCUUUUCACAGCCACUUCCGUUCCACUAAUGUGGCUUCCGACCAUUCGAGCUAUCCACGAUCAAAUAUAUCGUCGAAUUUCUAUUUCCAUUUUCAUCCUAUUCUUCGAAAUUAGGUUCGAACAGAUGGCAAAUCCGAUCAUUAAACAUGUAACAAAUCCUAUUUAAUGGAAAGCAUAUAAUGAUCGUCAAUGAAUUAAAUAUAAAGUGCGAAUUAAGAAGACAGAAAAUGAUCCAGAUAAUCGUGAAAUGAGGUAAUUAAUCAAUACAGUAAGGAUUAUGGAAAUUAGUAUUCAAUAGCACGAGACUGCAUGAUCUAAUAUAAGACCUCCAUAACAUUGCAAUCGAUAUUAGGUGUAACGAUGAAGAUGACCAUCCGAUAUCCCAAGUCUGUUGAACAUGAUAUUCCCUUCUAGUUGUGUAACAGAUACCAGAAACACUAAUCGUGGAAUCCAUCUAUUUGAUCACCAAAAUUAGGAAUAUGCUUUGGUAACCAAAUAAAAAUUUAUGUUUUGUAUUAUCAAAGAUAUUCAAAAGCUAUAUAUUUUAUUACCAGUAUUUUAUAUAGGUAUUAAAAUCACAUACGAAUGUUUUAUUUAAUUAUCAUUUGAUUUUAUUUUUCCAUUAAUUUAACGUUAUAAUAUUAACUGAAAUUUAAUUUCAGGUAUCCUUCUUAAUGACUUUUUAAGAGCCAUAUUAAAUAGUUAGAAGAGCCACGUGUGAAUCACGAGUUUGGUUAUCGUGCUUUAUAUUAAUUUACACGAAGAUUCUAAAUUUUAUGAAUUAAUUAAGAUUCUGUAUGGUAUAAUGAAACUUGAUAUUAAAGUUGAUGUAAGGUUUGAAAUUAAAUCAAUUGAAACAGGUGAUUCAGAUGAAACAUUAUAUUCAACAAUGAUCUCGUUGAAUAUACGAGAAGUUAUUACAACCCUUAUAAUCAUCCUCAUCGAAAAUCAAAACGAUACUGCAAUAUAAUUAUAUCAAACUUUCAAGAAUCAUAGAAGAAUCGUCUUAAGGAACAUCUCGGAAAACUUUAAAAACACGAAAACGUAGAACCUUCGAAUCCCUUGAUAGCCCUGGAACCUCUGGAUAGCUUCGAAUCCUCUGAGAACCUUGGAAUUUCCAGAUGGAGCUCUCGAAAUGGCUCUGUGUCCCUCGAUACCUUUAAAACUACGUUAUAGGAAUAGCUCUUCAAUUAUGGAUUCUUUUUCUUUCUUUAAAUCUCUGUUAUAUUUUUU